AGGGCUGCCUAGCACAGCCGGACCGCGGCGGGGAGGAGCCGGCGCUGACGGGCAGAAAUCCCCGGCGGAGAAACCGGGAGGGAUCCCGGGAAGGGAGGCCGUGCGCAUUUUCCUUUUUUCAACAACCUCUCCAAGAACACGUCCUAAGCACCGGGGAUCUGCUGCUACGUACAAAGCUCAGGCACUGAGCCAAUUCGGAAAAUAGUGUAACGUGUGUAUGUGGAAACAGCGUGACUCCUGGACUGUUCAUGCUAACUAUAGUUCAGGAGCGCCUUGUAUAAAGCAAAGUGAACUUGAUAACGCCAUUGCGUUGCAAGGAUAUCCCAGGCCGCAGCUGUGGGUAAAACGCAGGAGCUGUUUCGUGCGCUCCUAAGCGAUUGCUGACGAGUGAGCGUCUCCCACCCGAUGCCAGUCAGUUCAGCUGAUUAGGGCUAAGGCAGGGCAGCUCGGAGCUGGAGGUGGACCCUGCCGACGGGCCUGGAGGAGCCUGGCAGAGCUCCCUCCUCGGUGGCAGCUCGGCGCUGUGGGGGCCCCGCGGGUUUGACGCUGCAAAUAACAGCAGAUUCCAGCACCCGGCCAUGAAUACAAAAGCCUGAUGUCAAUAGGACACUGAAGGCCAGUGCCGGAGCGUCAACACGUCUAUAGCGUAACGGUAGAUCGUGUACUGACAUAUAAGGCGGGAGAGAAGUGUUUAAGGUACAGACUGAUGAAUGCAAAUUGGGUUUACUGUUACGAACACAGAACAAAUUCUUUCACUUUUUAAAGACGUAACUAAUUUGCUGCCUGAAAGGCCCUUUUUAAACAGCCCGCUUUGACAAUUUUAGCCAUUUUAAAUUAAGAAUGCUGUGUUACGUUUUUGAGCGCCCGGCUUCAAACGGCACGGCUCGUUGUUCCCGUGGGUUGGCGUCUGCUUGGGUGCUCUGGCAGGGCCAAGGCUCGAACCGCUGCCCCGGCGGGUCUGCUCCGCGUCGGGUCGAACUACGCGUUUGUGGAAACCAGGCAGCAGGGCUCUGUGCUGGGGCGAACGGCUCUAACCGACCGAGGAUGGAAGCAUGGUGUCUGAGGAGAAAACUGGGAAAGGCGGCGUGCUGUCACGGGCUAACCCCUCUCUGGUCUAAGCUGCUGAAGCUCCCUGAUCCCUGGGUCCGAGAGCAUGUUUCAAGCACCUUGGCUUAACUCCACCAACUUGCUCCUCCGUGACUGAGAGCAGCCGAGCACCCUCCUGGCAUGGCGUCUGCACCUAACUGCUCGUGGAAAGGGUCGAGUCAGGAGACAGCCUCAGCAACUCGUUUCUGUAUCUGCUAAUCCCUAGCAAAACGAUGAAAUAAAUGAGCUGCCAGAAGAGAUCUGAGUCUUCCC
rnacentral:lncRNA from 1 species